ACGUACACUCCUGCGGGAGGCAGCAGUGGGGAAUAUUGGACAAUGGGCACAAGCCUGAUCCAGCCAUGCCGCGUGAGUGAUGAAGGCCCUAGGGUUGUAAAGCUCUUUCACCGGUGAAGAUAAUGACGGUAACCGGAGAAGAAGCCCCGGCUAACUUCGUGCCAGCAGCCGCGGUAAUACGAAGGGGGCUAGCGUUGUUCGGAUUUACUGGGCGUAAAGCGCACGUAGGCGGACUAUUAAGUCAGGGGUGAAAUCCCGGGGCUCAACCCCGGAACUGCCUUUGAUACUGGUAGUCUUGAGUUCGAGAGAGGUGAGUGGAAUUCCGAGUGUAGAGGUGAAAUUCGUAGAUAUUCGGAGGAACACCAGUGGCGAAGGCGGCUCACUGGCUCGAUACUGACGCUGAGGUGCGAAAGCGUGGGGAGCAAACAGGAUUAGAAACCCCAGUAGUCCCAU
rnacentral:rRNA from 1 species